GUUAGAUUGGCCGAGUGGUUAAGGCGGUAGAUUUAAGCUGAAGCACGUAGAGUGCAUCCUUAAAUGCUCUACUGACGAAAGUCUCGCGUGUUCGAACCGCGCAUCUAACA